rnacentral:rRNA from 1 species
AGGGUUUGAUCMUGGCUCAGAUUGAACGCUGGCGGUAUGCUUAACACAUGCAAGUCGAACGGAAACGAUGGAAGCUUGCUUCCAGGCGUCGAGUGGCGGACGGGUGAGUAAUGCUUGGGAAUCUGCCUAAUAGUGGGGGAAAACACGGGGAAACUCGUGCUAAUACCGCAUAAUCUCUACGGAGGAAAGGGGGCCUCUACAUGUAAGCUCUCGCUAAUAGAUGAGCCCAAGUCAGAUUAGCUUGUUGGUGAGGUAAAAGCUCACCAAGGCUACGAUCUGUAGCUGGUCUGAGAGGACGAUCAGCCACACUGGGACUGAGACACGGCCCAGACUCCUACGGGAGGCAGCAGUGGGGAAUAUUGCACAAUGGGCGCAAGCCUGAUGCAGCAAUACCGCGUGUGUGAAGAAGGCCUUAGGGUUGUAAAGCACUUUCAAUAGAGAAGAAAAGCUUAGAGUUAAUAACUCUAAGCGUUGACGUAACCUAUAGAAGAAGCACCGGCUAAAUCCGUGCCAGCAGCCGCGGUAAUACGGAUGGUGCGAGCGUUAAUCGGAAUUACUGGGCGUAAAGCGCGCGUAGGCUGUUUUAUAAGUCGGAUGUGAAAUCCCCGGGCUCAACCUGGGAACUGCAUCCGAAACUAUUUAACUAGAGUAUGG